AUUGAACGCUGGCGGCAUGCUUUACACAUGCAAGUCGAACGAGUGGCGAACGGGUGAGUAAUAUAUCGGAACGUACCGAGUAAUGGGGGAUAACCAAUCGAAAGAUUGGCUAAUACCGCAUAUUAUUCGAGCGGCCGAUAACUGAUUAGCUAGUUGGUGGGGUAAAGGCCUACCAAGUCGACGAUCAGUAGCGGGUCUGAGAGGACGAUCCGCCACACUGGGACUGAGACACGGCCCAGACUCCUACGGGAGGCAGCAGUGGGGAAUUUUGGACAAUGGGGGCAACCCUGAUCCAGCCAUGCCGCGUGUAUGAAGAAGGCCUUAGGGUUGUAAAGUACUUUUGUGAGGGAAGCGGUACCUCAAGAAUAAGUAACGGCUAACUACCGGGCAGCCGCCGCGGUAAUAC
rnacentral:rRNA from 1 species